UACAGAUGUCAUCACAGAGCAUGAUUCAGCUGCGAGGGAGCUCGGUCCUGAGUUGUGUUCCCUUGGCAGAAGACCAUGGUUAAGGAUCUGUGAAGAGCUAGAAGCUUUGGGAAAUUUCAUCAGCUGAACCCUGGAAAAUUUCCUGCCUAUUCUGGUUCAAUGUUUGAUUGGGAAUUUAUGAUGAGAAGCUGAAAAUGUUACUCGUCCUACUACCAGGAACGAACCAAGAAGAGACUUCUGAUAGACGUGGAAAGCAAAACCAAGACCUUAAGGAGCCUGAUUGGAUCCCGUCGCUUGCUUUGGAUAGGCCUUGAGUGGCCUCAUGUCCUUGACUCUGCCUGAGGUCAGCCUGUGAUUACAUCUGCCUCUGGAUUACCCUUUUCAUGUUUUUGCACCUUAGCAGGGUUGCUCUAUGGUGAGUCCAACUGUGAUGUGCUCUGCCCCCCGACAGUUUGCACUUACCCCUCAGAUUAGCACGCUGGCCUCCAGGUAUCUCAGGCUAUGCCUUCUCGUCAUUCAACUCUCAUGACAUUUCUCUGUAUCAGACCAUCCCAACUAAAUUAGUCUCUUUAUGACCACACAUUCUUUCUCUGAUUUAUUUUUCUUCAUCAUAUGUAUCAUGGUGUGGUAUAUGUGCAUUACAAGAUAUUAAGUAGCAUUUAAGAACGUGUGUGACUAUAAUCAAUAGAAAAAAGCAUAUAUGUAAUUUAAUUACACAUUAAUUUUUCCCUUUUAGACAUCUCUUUUGUAUAAAGAGUAGAAAAAGCAUCAGUAGCAAAAACAGUAUAAUGAAGUCAUUGCUCAAUAAAUGCUUAUGAAUUGAAUUCAUAAAUAAAUGGAGUUGAUAAUCAUAAGGAUAGCAAAGUCAGGCUGUGUCCUUGCAUGAGCAGAAUGGACUUCUGCAGUCUGCACACCAUGGUGUACCUCAGGGCAAGUGUGUCAAGUUGCUUCCUCCAAACAAAUCACAACAUCUUUUAUAUUUAAUUCUUCCCCACCAAAAAAAUAAAACUUUAA